rnacentral:lncRNA from 1 species
UGCUAUUCAAGCCUCUUAAAUAUAAAGACAAUAGUAUGGUGACAAAUUAACUUAACAGAGAGAAAAUAAAUUAAAAAAAGAAAAAUAUAAUUGAAUUCCCUGAAUUCAACUAGCUAUCUAACUGUACUUUUUCCUCCUUCUAUUGUGAUCCGGCUCCCCUGAGAUCGGGUUUCCACGUAUUUACACAAUAAAGAUAUCAGUGUGGACGUUUGAUCAAGAUCUGACGAUCCAGAUUCAAGAAAUUUGAUAUUGUUUUAGAUCGUCUGAGCUUGAUCGAACGGUCAUCGAUAUCUUAAAUAUGUGAAUGUGGGUUAUCCAUGUGGAAUCCAAGCUCUCCUAUUGUGAUCAAUAAUAAUCAACAGGAGUUUGUGGACAACUAUCAUCAGAUACAUCUUCUUUGUCUUUAGUAUAAGGUGGUGGAACAUAAGGUGGAGUUGUACACCUUAACAAUGCCCAAUUCACACCUUGAAAAAAUGAGUGGUGUUUGAUUGCAGAAGCCCCCAUUAUUGAUCCUAGCCUCCUUGAUGGGUCCUUAACCAAUAACUGUGAGAUAAGAUCUUUUGCCGUGGCUGGCACGGUGGGUUCCUUUGGGAACUCCAAAGCUCGAGCCACGAUAUUUGCUAGAGUUAAUUCAUUAUCCAAGCCUCUAAAAGGUGUGACACCAUAAAAUAAUUCGAAUAUAAAUAUCCCUAAGGUCCACCAAUCCACAGCACUACCAUGUCCCUCACCAGACACUAUUUCAGGAGCUAAGUAUUCGUGGGUCCCAACAAAUGACAUGGACCUAACAUCAAUGGGCUCAGCAACAAACUCAGGCCCAUUGAACUGGUUUUGUUUCUUCUUUCUUUUGCGUUUUGGUUGGAAACAAGACACUGCUGGGACUAUACAGUUGGGAAUUAUGCAUGAAGAUGAGGCAAAUUGUGAGUGUUCAGUAUGGGGAUUUUUUGGUAGGGCUACUUGAGGAGUGUUUUGAUUGGAGAUUAUUAUCUGGGCUGGUGUGGAACUAUCAUCACAUUUUAAUGAGAGGUCAAAGUCUGUGAGCAUUAUAUGGCCAUCUGAUCGAACUAAUACAUUCUCUGGCUUCAGAUCACGGUAUACUAUUCCCAACAUGUGAAGGUAUUCAAGUGCCAUCAACACUUCUGAUGCAUAGAAUCUGUAAAAAAAUGAAUUAAUAAAGAAUUAAUCAACAUUAAUCAAACCUUAAACGAGUGAUAGUUAUGCGUGUUCGGGCAGUACUCCGUUAAACUAAAAUUAUUUAGAAGUUGAGACACAAGCCAAAGCGUAUCAUACACACCUAAAACGGACAAUACCUCGAAAACACAAGCUAAAUGGACUUGUUUGUA